rnacentral:rRNA from 1 species
GAUGUACGCUAGCUACAGGCUUAACACAUGCAAGUCGAACGGGAAACAUUUUAUUGAAGCUUCGGCAGAUUUAGUUUGUUUCUAGUGGCGGACGGGUGAGUAACGCGUGGGUAACCUGCCUCACACUGGGGGAUAACAGUCAGAAAUGACUGCUAAUACCGCAUAAGCGCACGAGACCGCAUGGUUUUGUGUGAAAAACUCCGGUGUGUGAGAUGGACCCGCGUUGGAUUAGCCAGUUGGCAGGGUAACGGCCUACCAAAGCGACGAUCCAUAGCCGGCCUGAGAGGGUGAACGGCACAUUGGGACUGAGACACGGCCCAGACUCCUACGGGAGC